rnacentral:rRNA from 1 species
CCUANGGGGGGCUGCAGUGAGGAAUAUUGCACAAUGGGCGAAAGCCUGAUGCAGCGACGCCGCGUGAGGGAUGAAGGUCUUCGGAUUGUAAACCUCUGUCAGUGGGGAAGAGUGAGGACGGUACCUACUGAGGAAGCCUCGGCUAACUACGUGCCAGCAGCCGCGGUAAGACGUAGGGGGCGAGCGUUGUCCGGAAUUACUGGGUGUAAAGAGCUCGUAGGCGGGAUCGUAAGUCUAGAGCAAAAUACCAUGGCUCAACUGUGGUGUGAUUUUGGAAACUGCGAUUCUUGAGGACUGGAGAGGAAAGUGGAAUUCCCGGUGUAGCGGUGGAAUGCGUAGAUAUCGGGAGGAACACCAGUGGCGAAGGCGACUUUCUGGCCAGUUCCUGACGCUGAGGAGCGAAAGCUGGGGGAGCAAACGGGAUUAGAUACCCCUNUANUC